CUUAUAUCAGUUCAGUUCGAAACUCAAGCAAACGGUCGCAAGUGUUUCUGCAAUAUUAUUGUGUAGCUUUAUACAAAAGUUGAUAGGAUUUACAUAUUAUUUUUGGAAUGUAAAUAGAAAAUUUACAGCUAAAACCAAUCGUAAGCGGAAAACUAAGUGACGAAUUCGUAAGUUUACCUUUGAAACUUUUAUAAUAUGUGCUUACUUCCUUUUACAUGCUAAGGUAUUCGCUAACUGCACCGUAGAUAAUACUUAAAAACAACAUUCUUACUAUAAUAGGAUAUUAUCGUAGGUGUAUAUUUGUAUAUUGUACGUCUAUAAAGUAUGUGGAAGUUUAUUUUUUUAUUUAAUUACGUU
rnacentral:lncRNA from 1 species